rnacentral:rRNA from 1 species
UACGAAGGGGGCUAGCGUUGCUCGGAAUUACUGGGCGUAAAGCGCACGUAGGCGGCUUCUUAAGUCGGUGGUGAAAUCCUGGAGCUCAAUUCCAGAACUGCCUUCGAUACUGAGAAGCUCGAGUCCGGGAGAGGUGAGUGGAACUGCGAGUGUAGAGGUGAAAUUCGUAGAUAUUCGCAAGAACACCAGUGGCGAAGGCGGCUCACUGGCCCGGUACUGACGCUGAGGUGCGAAAGCGUGGGGAGCAAACAGG